CCUACGGGCGGCUGCAGUGAGGAAUAUUGGUCAAUGGGCGGAAGCCUGAACCAGCCAAGUCGCGUGAGGGAAUAAGGCCCUACGGGUCGUAAACCUCUUUUGCCGGGGAGCAAGGGCUGGGACGUGUCCCGGCCCGGAGAGUACCCGGAGGAAAAGCAUCGGCUAACUCCCUGCCAGCCGGCGCGGUAAUACGGAGGAGGCGAGCGUUAUCCGGAUUGAUUGGGUGUAAAGGGUGCGUAGGCGGGCUUUUAAGUAAGCGGGAAAAAUUCGGGGCUAAACCCCGACCGGUCGUUGAAACUGGGGGCCUUGAGUGGGCGAGAAGAAGGCGGAAUGCGUGGUGUAGCGGUGAAAUGCAUAGAUAUCACGCAGAACACCGAUUGCGAAGGCAGCCUUCCGGAGCCCUACUGACGCUGAGGCACGAAAGUGCGGGGAUCGAACAGGAUUAGAUACCCUGGUAGUC
rnacentral:rRNA from 1 species